UGCCCAGCAACUCCUAUCCCUACCUCCUCGUGGUACUGGCCGGGGUACGAGUAACCUUGGGGAAGAUCGGGUAACCAACCCCCGGUGGGAACUUUGGUCUAUGCUGACAGGGAAGG
rfam:Aedes aegypti strain Liverpool supercont1.280 genomic scaffold, whole genome shotgun sequence.